rnacentral:rRNA from 1 species
AGUGAACGCUGGCGGUAGGCCUAACACAUGCAAGUCGAACGGCAGCACAGUAAGAGCUUGCUCUUACGGGUGGCGAGUGGCGGACGGGUGAGGAAUACAUCUGAAUCUACUUUUUCGUGGGGGAUAACGUAGGGAAACUUACGCUAAUACCGCAUACGACCUACGGGUGAAAGCAGGGGAUCUUCGGACCUUGCGCGAUUGAAUGAGCCGAUGUCGGAUUAGCUAGUUGGCGGGGUAAAGGCCCACCAAGGCGACGAUCCGUAGCUGGUCUGAGAGGAUGAUCAGCCACACUGGAACUGAGACACGGUCCAGACUCCUACGGGAGGCAGCAGUGGGGAAUAUUGGACAAUGGGCGCAAGCCUGAUCCAGCCAUACCGCGUGGGUGAAGAAGGCCUUCGGGUUGUAAAGCCCUUUUGUUGGGAAAGAAAAGCAGCAGGUUAAUACCCCGCAGUUCUGACGGUACCCAAAGAAUAAGCACCGGCUAACUUCGUG